UGGGAAUUUGGACAAUGGGCGAAAGCCUGAUCCAGCAAUGCCGCGUGUGUGAAGAAGGCCUUCGGGUUGUAAAGCACUUUUGUCCGGAAAGAAAUCCUUGGCUCUAAUACAGUCGGGGGAUGACGGUACCGGAAGAAUAAGCACCGGCUAACUACGUGCCAGCAGCCGCGGUAAUACGUAGGGUGCAAGCGUUAAUCGGAAUUACUGGGCGUAAAGCGUGCGCAGGCGGUUUGCUAAGACCGAUGUGAAAUCCCCGGGCUCAACCUGGGAACUGCAUUGGUGACUGGCAGGCUAGAGUAUGGCAGAGGGGGGUAGAAUUCCACGUGUAGCAGUGAAAUGCGUAGAGAUGUGGAGGAAUACCGAUGGCGAAGGCAGCCCCCUGGGCCAAUACUGACGCUCAUGCACGAAAGCGUGGGGAGCAAAACAGGAUUAGAUACCCUGGUAGUCCACGCCCUAAACGAUGUCAACUAGUUGUUGGGGAUUCAUUUCCUUAGUAACGUAGCUAACGCGUGAAGUUGACCGCCUGGGGAGUACGGUCGCAAGAUUAAAACUCAAAUGAAUUGACGGGGUCAU
rnacentral:rRNA from 1 species